GGGAUAUAGCUCAGUGGUAGACCACUUGCUUAGCAUGCACAGAGUCCUGGGUUUAAUCCCCAUUAUGUAACA
rnacentral:tRNA from 1 species